rnacentral:rRNA from 1 species
AUACGGAGGGUGCAAGCGUUAAUCGGAAUUACUGGGCGUAAAGCGUACGUAGGCGGUUUAUUAAGUCAGAUGUGAAAGCCCCGGGCUUAACCUGGGAACUGCAUUUGAUACUGGUAGACUAGAGUAUGGUAGAGGGGGGUAGAAUUCCUAGUGUAGCGGUGAAAUGCGUAGAUAUUAGGAGGAAUACCAGUGGCGAAGGCGGCCCCCUGGACCAAUACUGACGCUGAGGUACGAAAGCGUGGGGAGCGAACAGGAUUAGAAACCCCGGUAGUCC